rnacentral:rRNA from 1 species
UACGAAGGGAGCUAGCGUUGUUCGGAAUCACUGGGCGUAAAGCGCACGUAGGCGGAUGUGUCAGUCAGGGGUGAAAUCCCGGAGCUCAACUUCGGAACUGCCUUUGAUACUGGGAAGCUCGAGUCCGGGAGAGGUGAGUGGAACUGCGAGUGUAGAGGUGAAAUUCGUAGAUAUUCGCAAGAACACCAGUGGCGAAGGCGGCUCACUGGCCCGGUACUGACGCUGAGGUGCGAAAGCGUGGGGAGCAAACAGG